rnacentral:rRNA from 1 species
GACGUAGGGCGCGAGCGUUGUCCGGAUUUAUUGGGCGUAAAGGGCUCGUAGGCGGUCCGUCGCGUCGGGAGUGAAAACUCGGAGCUUAACUCCGAGCCUGCUUCCGAUACGGGCAGACUAGAGGUAGGCAGGGGAGAGCGGAACUCCUGGUGUAGCGGUGGAAUGCGCAGAUAUCAGGAAGAACACCAAUGGCGAAGGCAGCUCUCUGGGACGGUACUGACGCUGAGACGCGAAAGCUAGGGGAGCGAACGGG